rnacentral:rRNA from 1 species
AGAGGGUGCGAGCGUUAAUCGGAUUUACUGGGCGUAAAGCGUGCGUAGGCGGCUUUUUAAGUCGGAUGUGAAAUCCCUGAGCUUAACUUAGGAAUUGCAUUCGAUACUGGGAAGCUAGAGUAUGGGAGAGGAUGGUAGAAUUCCGGGUGUAGCGGUGAAAUGCGUAGAGAUCUGGAGGAAUACCGAUGGCGAAGGCAGCCAUCUGGCCUAAUACUGACGCUGAGGUACGAAAGCAUGGGGAGCAAACAGGAUUAGAUACCCUGGUAGUCCAUGCCGUAAACGAUGUCUACUAGCCGUUGGGGCCUUUGAGGCUUUAGUGGCGCAGCUAACGCGAUAAGUAGACCGCCUGGGGAGUACGGUCGCAAGACUA